UGUCGUGUAACAACAAGAGCACGUUUUUCAAAAAACUCCAAGUUUAUAUGAACUACUUAUUAAACUAAAGUCAGCAAUCAACAAAACUAUCCAAAUAUUAUACACUGAAAAAUCAUUGCAUGCAUUCGGUUUUUCAAUAUCUACGAUGCAACCAAUGUAGGCAAGCCUCAAAGCGUUCAUGCAAGAACAACAGAGAAUAACCUAAAGAAGAAUAUUACCAGUCUCUAAAGGUGAUUCUUAACAAAAUAUUACACCGAAAAUUGUGAGAUAAAUUCAAACGGAAGAUUCACAGAGACCAAAUUUGAAAUGAGGGAAACUGAAUCAAACCAAAACUAUAUAACUUAAAUACCUCUUAAAUUGAUUGAAUUGUUUGUACACAUGUGAGAUUUCACAUCAUAUGCUAUGCAUUGAAUCUAGAGGAAAACCUAAACCUAUUCCCAAUUCAUCAAACCCUCCAUGGAAAUACCGAGAAACACAAUGUGGGCAAGAAAAUUGUUCCUUACUAGUUAGGAUUUCAUGUUGGCUGAGGAGGAGAGAAAUCCACGAAGAGCACAGAAUUGAUUGAAGAUGGGAGAAGAACAGGUGGACGAUUACUCCAAUGACACGUGACAGAACUUCUAGAAUCCUAAAACCGUGUUAGGGUAGCAGGGAUUCCAAGAGCCUUCUGGAGUGCUUCGAGUUGAGAGAAUGUCCAAGUUUUUAGUGAUUUGAGAGAGAAUGUCCAAGUCCCAAGUCACCAAAAGAGUCACCCCCUUCCUAGAAUGGAAGGGGUAUUUAUAGAGUUUCCUGGAACUUAAGUGGUCACAUGUCAGGCACAUGUCUUCAAGGAAAUUCCAGAAAUACUCUUUUGGUCAUUAGAAUAAUGACCAUAUUGCCCUGUCCUUCUAGCCACCAAUCAAAUCCCUCAAUCAAUUCCCAAAACGAGCCACCUCCACGAGCCUUCUGCCUCGGGACACGUGGGGGCUUCUCCCGGGUCUAACACAUUUAUUUCUGACUUUUCCGUCUUCAUUCUAUUAGGUUAUGUGAACUCUAAUUUGCACAUUUAAUGAGGUCGUCGAACCAUAUUUGUGCAUUUAAUUCAAUUAGGUCAUAUGAACCCUAAUUUGCACUUGGGCCAACAUUUGCCCCCUGCGCGAGAGUAGUGUUUCCAAAGAGACGAUCGUGCAAGAAUAAUUCAAGCUUUUGAACGAUUUUGUUGGACUCCACCUACAGGUCUUGAAGACAAUGGCCCUGGUAGAGGGAACCCCUAGGGAGCCAAACCAUUAGGGUUAAACCCUAGGGAGUUUGUUGUUGAUUGUAUAUAGUGAUGUUGAACUUCCUUUUGAAGCGUCUUCAAUAAGUGGUUGGUCAAGAUCCAAGUUUGCGCCUUAGAAAGCUUGAGUUGCUUGCCUUGGAACUGGAUCCGGUGAGGUAAUGCUAUUUGUUGGUGAAGCAGCUCUUCCUGUAGUUCUCCCACUUCGAGUUGUGGACAUACAUUUCACGAAUUCUACACCUCCCCAGCACAGUCGCCAAAGAAAUGUGGGCAAGGAAAUCGUGUCUUGCUAGUUAGGGUUUCGUGUUGGCUGAGGAGAAGAGAAAUCCACGAAGAGUACGGAAUUGAUUGAUUGAAGAGGGGAGAAGAACAGGUGGACAAUUACUCCAAUAACACGUGACAGAACUCCUAGAAUCCGGAAACCGUGUUAGGGUAGCAGGGAUUCCAAGAGUCUUCUUAAGUGCUUCGAGUUGAGAGAAUGUGUAAGUCUUGAGUGAUUUGAGAGAGAAUGUCCAAGUCCCAAGUCACCAAAAGAGUCCCCCUUCCUAGAAUGGAAGGGGUAUUUAUAGAGUUUUUUGGAACUUAAGUAGUCACAUGUCUUCAGAAAAAUUCCAGAAAUACCCUUUUAGUCAUUAGAAUAAUGACCAUAUCACCCUGUCCUUCUAGCCACCAAUCCAAUCCCUCAAUCAAUUUCUAAAAUGAGCCACGUCCAUGAGUCUUUUGCCUCGGGACGCGUGGAAGCUUCUCCCGGAUCUAGCACAUUUAUUUCUGACUUUUCCGUCUUCAUUCCAUUAGGUUAUGUGAACCCUAAUUUGCACAUUUAAUGAGGUAGUGGAACCCUAAUUGUACAUUUAAUUCAAUUAGGUCAUGUGAACUCUAAUUUGCACCGGGUCCACACACAAUAAUUUCAAGGUAAUUGUUAAAUCUACAACACUUUUUGUUAUUUUCACAACAAAAGUGUCGCUAUAGAUGUAUACGUCGCUAUAGGAUCUAUAACAACACUUUUGUUGUGGAAAUAACAAUUUCUGUUGUGGAUUUAACGAUUCCCAAAAUUCAAAGACCAACCAAGCUGUACAAUCACAUUCAAAGACCAUACAUAAGAAAAAUUCAAAAAAUCUAACCUUUUCCACUGCAUUUGCCGCAUGAGAUAAACGGUUUCCGUAUCUGCAGAAUUAGGGUUGAAAGCUGGGUAUAUUUGGCUCAAGAUAGAGAAAAUCUCGGUAUAAAACUAAAAGGGGCCACUUUGGGUUUUAUCACACCUCACAGGAGUAUAUACUAUAUACAACCACAUAAGAUCAGAAGUUUUGGAAUUAGAGAAACCGAAUUUCGGUUGAAUGCACAACAGAUGGAAUUAACAUGAAAGCCAGCUCACUUUCUCUCUCUUCUCUACCUCCAUGUGAAUAUAUAUGACACAAUAAUAUUUUUCAUCUUUUCAAAUUCAAAUUGCC
rnacentral:lncRNA from 1 species